UUGCAAUCCCUACCACGAAACUCUCACCCACCACAUCGCAAACUCAUAGCAGGAAGGGAUAGCUCCAGCAGCCGACCCACCAAUCAUCAAAAAGGCCCACCUCUUCUCCCUACCAUUAAACAUCGAACCAGAGGAAGGUAUAUAAGGCCGCCGCCGCCGCCGCCGGUGUCUCUCUGCGCCAUUAACUCACCUGUGUCUCAGCUCUCUCUACGCCCAUCAGAUCUCCAGCUCUCGAAGAGGAAAAACUUAGAAGCCUACCGGACACCUUAACUUAUUCGAAAAUAACUUAGUCGCGAUUUUGAUUUUUCUUUCGGGACUUAGUCUCAAUCUCUAUGAAGAGAGCUGUAUCAACAUUAACACUUUAAUAAAGUGCUACCAUCCAGCAACCUCUGAGUCUUUGGCCAUUCUCUGCGCUGCCUUGCCACUUCUUCAGGUUCUCACCGAGGUCGAGCAAUCCAGGGAAGGAGCAGCGGUGCCUUUAUUCUUCCAUUGAUCCCGUCAUCCGGUACCUUUCUACGCAUCAUCAUGGUUAACCC